AAAGAAAAUAACAAUGAUUCCCCUAGUAACGGCGAGCGAAGAGGGAAUAGCUCAAAUUUUAAAUCUGUUGGGUCUUACCUAACCGAGUUGUAAUUUGAAGAAGCGUUUUCUGCGUGUUUGAUUUAGCCCAAAUCCUUUGGGAUAGGGUAUCAUGGAGGGUGAGAAUCCCGUCCGGCCUAAUCAAAUGUGCAUUACGAUACGUUUUCUAAGAGUCGAGUUGUUUGGGAUUGCAGCUCAAAAUGGGAGGUAAAUUUCUCCUAAGGCUAAAUAUUGGCGAGAGACCGAUAGCGAACAAGUACCGUGAGGGAAAGAUGAAAAGAACUUUGAAAAGAGAGUUAAACAGUACGUGAAAUUGUUGAAAGGGAAACGAUUAAAGUCAGUCGUACUAACGGGGAAUCAACCUUUUGAGGGUGGAAUUGUGGGAUUCAAAGUGCCUUUGUUUUUCACAACCUGCUUUUUUUGGGUGUACUUUCCCGUAUUGUAGGUCAGCAUCGGUUUUGACCGUUAUAAAAUGACUGGAGGAAUGUAGCUUCGAUCUCGUAUUGAAGUGUUAUAGCCUUUGGUAGAUGUAACGGAUGGGAUCGAGGAUUGCAAUGAAUACCCUCAUGGGCUAUCCGCCUGGCCUCUGACAUGUCACUCUGGUGCUGAAAGCGUGCUUAUGGUAUCAUAGUGUACGGUCAAAAGGUUAGAACGGAUUAAAUU
rnacentral:rRNA from 1 species